UUAAGCGACUAAGCGUACACGGUGGAUGCCCUGGCAGUCAGAGGCGAUGAAGGACGUGCUAAUCUGCGAUAAGCGUCGGUAAGGUGAUAUGAACCGUUAUAACCGGCGAUUUCCGAAUGGGGAAACCCAGUGUGUUUCGACACACUAUCAUUAACUGAAUCCAUAGGUUAAUGAGGCGAACCGGGGGAACUGAAACAUCUAAGUACCCCGAGGAAAAGAAAUCAACCGAGAUUCCCCCAGUAGCGGCGAGCGAACGGGGAGCAGCCCAGAGCCUGAAUCAGUGUGUGUGUUAGUGGAAGCGUCUGGAAAGGCGCGCGAUACAGGGUGACAGCCCCGUACACAAAAAUGCACAUGCUGUGAGCUCGAUGAGUAGGGCGGGACACGUGGUAUCCUGUCUGAAUAUGGGGGGACCAUCCUCCAAGGCUAAAUACUCCUGACUGACCGAUAGUGAACCAGUACCGUGAGGGAAAGGCGAAAAGAACCCCGGCGAGGGGAGUGAAAAAGAACCUGAAACCGUGUACGUACAAGCAGUGGGAGCACGCUUAGGCGUGUGACUGCGUACCUUUUGUAUAAUGGGUCAGCGACUUAUAUUCUGUAGCAAGGUUAACCGAAUAGGGGAGCCGAAGGGAAACCGAGUCUUAACUGGGCGUUAAGUUGCAGGGUAUAGACCCGAAACCCGGUGAUCUAGCCAUGGGCAGGUUGAAGGUUGGGUAACACUAACUGGAGGACCGAACCGACUAAUGUUGAAAAAUUAGCGGAUGACUUGUGGCUGGGGGUGAAAGGCCAAUCAAACCGGGAGAUAGCUGGUUCUCCCCGAAAGCUAUUUAGGUAGCGCCUCGUGAAUUCAUCUCCGGGGGUAGAGCACUGUUUCGGCAAGGGGGUCAUCCCGACUUACCAACCCGAUGCAAACUGCGAAUACCGGAGAAUGUUAUCACGGGAGACACACGGCGGGUGCUAACGUCCGUCGUGAAGAGGGAAACAACCCAGACCGCCAGCUAAGGUCCCAAAGUCAUGGUUAAGUGGGAAACGAUGUGGGAAGGCCCAGACAGCCAGGAUGUUGGCUUAGAAGCAGCCAUCAUUUAAAGAAAGCGUAAUAGCUCACUGGUCGAGUCGGCCUGCGCGGAAGAUGUAACGGGGCUAAACCAUGCACCGAAGCUGCGGCAGCGACGCUUAUGCGUUGUUGGGUAGGGGAGCGUUCUGUAAGCCUGCGAAGGUGUGCUGUGAGGCAUGCUGGAGGUAUCAGAAGUGCGAAUGCUGACAUAAGUAACGAUAAAGCGGGUGAAAAGCCCGCUCGCCGGAAGACCAAGGGUUCCUGUCCAACGUUAAUCGGGGCAGGGUGAGUCGACCCCUAAGGCGAGGCCGAAAGGCGUAGUCGAUGGGAAACAGGUUAAUAUUCCUGUACUUGGUGUUACUGCGAAGGGGGGACGGAGAAGGCUAUGUUGGCCGGGCGACGGUUGUCCCGGUUUAAGCGUGUAGGCUGGUUUUCCAGGCAAAUCCGGAAAAUCAAGGCUGAGGCGUGAUGACGAGGCACUACGGUGCUGAAGCAACAAAUGCCCUGCUUCCAGGAAAAGCCUCUAAGCAUCAGGUAACAUCAAAUCGUACCCCAAACCGACACAGGUGGUCAGGUAGAGAAUACCAAGGCGCUUGAGAGAACUCGGGUGAAGGAACUAGGCAAAAUGGUGCCGUAACUUCGGGAGAAGGCACGCUGAUAUGUAGGUGAGGUCCCUCGCGGAUGGAGCUGAAAUCAGUCGAAGAUACCAGCUGGCUGCAACUGUUUAUUAAAAACACAGCACUGUGCAAACACGAAAGUGGACGUAUACGGUGUGACGCCUGCCCGGUGCCGGAAGGUUAAUUGAUGGGGUUAGCCGCAAGGCGAAGCUCUUGAUCGAAGCCCCGGUAAACGGCGGCCGUAACUAUAACGGUCCUAAGGUAGCGAAAUUCCUUGUCGGGUAAGUUCCGACCUGCACGAAUGGCGUAAUGAUGGCCAGGCUGUCUCCACCCGAGACUCAGUGAAAUUGAACUCGCUGUGAAGAUGCAGUGUACCCGCGGCAAGACGGAAAGACCCCGUGAACCUUUACUAUAGCUUGACACUGAACAUUGAGCCUUGAUGUGUAGGAUAGGUGGGAGGCUUGGAAGUGUGGACGCCAGUCUGCAUGGAGCCGACCUUGAAAUACCACCCUUUAAUGUUUGAUGUUCUAACGUUGACCCGUAAUCCGGGUUGCGGACAGUGUCUGGUGGGUAGUUUGACUGGGGCGGUCUCCUCCUAAAGAGUAACGGAGGAGCACGAAGGUUGGCUAAUCCUGGUCGGACAUCAGGAGGUUAGUGCAAUGGCAUAAGCCAGCUUGACUGCGAGCGUGACGGCGCGAGCAGGUGCGAAAGCAGGUCAUAGUGAUCCGGUGGUUCUGAAUGGAAGGGCCAUCGCUCAACGGAUAAAAGGUACUCCGGGGAUAACAGGCUGAUACCGCCCAAGAGUUCAUAUCGACGGCGGUGUUUGGCACCUCGAUGUCGGCUCAUCACAUCCUGGGGCUGAAGUAGGUCCCAAGGGUAUGGCUGUUCGCCAUUUAAAGUGGUACGCGAGCUGGGUUUAGAACGUCGUGAGACAGUUCGGUCCCUAUCUGCCGUGGGCGCUGGAGAACUGAGGGGGGCUGCUCCUAGUACGAGAGGACCGGAGUGGACGCAUCACUGGUGUUCGGGUUGUCAUGCCAAUGGCACUGCCCGGUAGCUAAAUGCGGAAGAGAUAAGUGCUGAAAGCAUCUAAGCACGAAACUUGCCCCGAGAUGAGUUCUCCCUGACCCUUUAAGGGUCCUGAAGGAACGUUGAAGACGACGACGUUGAUAGGCCGGGUGUGUAAGCGCAGCGAUGCGUUGAGCUAACCGGUACUAAUGAACCGUGAGGCUUAACCUU
rnacentral:rRNA from 1 species